CUGAUUUCAAACAAAAGGAAAUUCAUAUUUAAUUAAGCAAAAGUAAUCCAAGGGAAAACAAGGAAGCUGGGGCAACAGGAAAAGUAACUGAGACACUUUCUGAAAGAAAGUCCUUCACGGUUCCGAAGCUCUUCCUAGGCUGUGACCUGAGCCCUUCCAACUUCAGUUUUCAGAAAAUAGAAAAUAACAUCAUUAUAAAAACAAGCAACAGACAAAAUGAAAAACCAUCAUCUGCUGCAGGCCCCAACGAGCAGCCUCUUACCUUCUCCGACUGUUGACAGCGAUGCAAACAGCAAGAAUCAAAGCCAGGGCCAAGAGAGAUGCCAAGAUGAUGAGCCAUUCUGGUGCAAGUGAAACAAAAGGCAUGUGUGAACAUCAGAAACAAACUUUGGAAAACAAAAAAUGCAACUGGAACAUCGGCCUUGGCUAAACAAGGACUACAGUCAGCACUGUAGAAAGGCUUGACCAAAGGGUCCAGCCAACCAGCGUCUCAUUCUAAAAGAGUGAUUUUGCUACAGGAGUUGGUUCAACAGAACUUUCAUACUAAUCUUUUAU